CAGUUGGGUAGAGGCCAAGAACUUCGUUCUUCAAGCGUGGGCACCUACAGGGGCACGGGUGCCAGUGGUGAAACCACCUACCGCAUAU
rnacentral:ncRNA from 1 species